rnacentral:rRNA from 1 species
GCGACGACGGGUAGCCGGCCUGAGAGGGUGACCGGCCACACUGGGACUGAGACACGGCCCAGACUCCUACGGGAGGCAGCAGUGGGGAAUAUUGCACAAUGGGCGCAAGCCUGAUGCAGCGACGCCGCGUGAGGGAUGACGGCCUUCGGGUUGUAAACCUCUUUCAGUAGGGAAGAAGCGAAAGUGACGGUACCUGCAGAAGAAGCACCGGCUAACUACGUGCCAGCAGCCGCGGUAAUACGUAGGGUGCGAGCGUUAUCCGGAAUUAUUGGGCGUAAAGAGCUCGUAGGCGGUUUGUCGCGUCUGCCGUGAAAGUCCGGGGCUUAACUCCGGAUCUGCGGUGGGUACGGGCAGACUAGAGUGCAGUAGGGGAGACUGGAAUUCCUGGUGUAGCGGUGGAAUGCGCAGAUAUCAGGAGGAACACCGAUGGCGAAGGCAGGUCUCUGGGCUGUAACUGACGCUGAGGAGCGAAAGCAUGGGGAGCGAACAGGAUUAGAUACCCUGGUAGUCCAUGCCGUAAACGUUGGGCACUAGGUGUGGGGGCCAUUCCACGGUUUCCGCGCCGCAGCUAACGCAUUAAGUGCCCCGCCUGGGGAGUACGG